GAUAUCUUCAAUAACUCAGCUUGGAAUCAGAGAUACCUUGUGGUAACACGAUCACCAAUUCUUGGGGGCCUUGCGGCAAUGCGCGACUCAGAAAUAGAUUACACAGUUGAGGCCAUUAUGGUGAACCCUUAGAAUGAAAGCCCCUGGAGAUACCUCAGAGGUUUAUAUAAGGAUGAUAACAAUUUGCUGGUGGCUCCUAAUCGCAUUUCUGAUGCUUGCCUCAAGGUCCUGAAUAAGGACUAGACAUGUGUAUUUGCUUUGAGCUUCCUGCUUGAUCUUCUUCGCAUGGGUUUGUAGCCUUCAGAUGAUCUUAAAGGAACCAUUGAAGCAAUGGAGAACUCUGAUCCUGAAACGGGACAUGCUGAUAUUGCAGUAGCUGUCUGCUCAAUUCUGCAGAAAUGUGAUCCCCUGCAGAUAAACUACUGGUCAUGGUACCAGACCACUCUUUCUUCUUAG
rnacentral:rRNA from 1 species